rnacentral:lncRNA from 1 species
AAAAAAGAAGUGAAAUUAAAUUGGAAUCUAAAAAAAUUCCACAUCAUCAUUGGUUUGAAUUGUAACUGAUGGCAUAGGAUCAGAUGUCUUAAGUUUGAAUUUCAUUGUGAUUUCGAAUUCCGAAGUAUCUAUAUCAAUAACUUCAGCUAUCUUCUCCACCAAUUCGGCAUAUGUUGUCGAUCGUGGUAUCAUUAUCCCUUUAGCCUUUGAACCUUUGAACUUAUACUCGUCAUUUUGCUCAAUCCAUUCACCAUUGAAGAGAAUAGGCAC